GGCCUCCUGGUACUUACCACAGGCUGUGUUCCCAUACUGACUGGAUAGAAAGAGGAGGCAGAGCACAUCUAUCCGAAACACACAUCAGCCCAGGCCCUGUGCAUAGUCUGUACUGUGAAUGGGGGGACAUGG
ensembl:snoRNA